AUUAGCCAUCCACAUCAAAUCUCAAUUGAUAGGCAAAUAGAAAAAAGAUGGAGCUUCAACAACAUUUAGGCCAUCCACAUCCACUGGUGUUCAACCAAGAGAUGAACCAUCAAAGUGAGGAGACUUUCUGUUGCUUUGGAUGCAAGCAAAAGGUGAAGGGUCCAAGCUUUAGCUGUUCAGAGUGUGGGUUUUUCCUGCACAAUGGAUGUGCUGAAGCUCCUAUAGAGAUUCAACACCACCCCUUUCAUCGAGACCACCUUCUCAUUCUUCGUCAACUAUCAUCCAUUAAAGGAUAAGGAGGAGAUUAUUGCAAGGUUUGCCAUUGCUACAUUGAACUUGGGACUGCAAAAUCUGUUAUAAGAAGGUAAAUACGGAGCAUGGGAGUUAUUGUUGUUCUAGACCAAAUUGUGAUUUUGUUAUCCACGUCAAGUGUGCCAUUGAUGGGAAUAACACGUUUUGGUAUGAUAUAAGUAAGCUUGAGAAUCUAGAUGAAAUCGAGGAAAUUGAUGAAUUUGAGAAUUUAAUCAUUCGUGUUCUUCAAGAAACCAAAGCUGGGGACAAUGUUGUAGCUGCAGAGAUAAUACAUUUGUUGGGUUUUUCUUUCUAAGAGUAGAGGUAGAAAUACAGGACACAGAACAAGGUAGUAUGAUAUUUUACUUGUUCACAAAUAUGCACCAAGGGAGCUUAUGGCUUUAGCUCAUUUUACUCAUUUUAGCUCAUAUUUUCAAUAAGAAAAACAAUACAUUUAUAGCCAAAUA